GGGAAACCUUCUUGGAGGCCCCAGGAUAGAGCUCUGUGUGUUUUGGGAGCCAACCCUGCCACGUGACACACCCCCACACCAGCCACCCUGGGCGGCAGACCUGGAAAUGCGUGUGAUGUGCUCAACAGACAGGGUAAAGCAGGCUAGGUGUGGAGUGGACAAACCGAGCCAGGCAGAGCUGCUCCUGUUGAGAGGUGGUGAGGACACCAUGGCUGGAGUAGAGGAUCUGGUGGGAACAGAGCUGCGCUGCACAGCCCCUAGGGCAGCUCACUUGUCAGGCAGCUCACUUGCCAAGCAGCUGAGGUGAGGACUCUGGUGCUGCUGAACUCCGGGCUGACGACACCCAGGCGCACAGCAGGGAGGGUCUGCUGUCCUUGAGGGACGGCAGUGGUGACUGCUGUGCUGCUCUGCUGCCCCCGCACUUGGGAAUGGGGCAGCUCCUGAUGUUCCUGCCUGAACCGUGGGCUGAUCCAGUUUCCAGAGACUCAUGCCAGCUCACCAGGACCCAAAUGCUUCAAGGAUUGAAAAAUGCACCUGUCCUGUUUGGUGAGGCCCUCUAGAAAGAAUUGGAAACAGGACUCUAUCAAAAGAACAAAAAUUGCGACACGAGCCACGCGUAACCCAGGAAGAGCAUGCACAGAUCCGCCCAAGUCGCUCCUAACUGCCAGCCCUGCAGGGCAGCUACACACAG